GACGAACGCUGGCGGCGUGCUUAACACAUGCAAGUCGAACGGUGAAGGGACCGGUUUUUGCUGGUUCUGGAUGAGUGGCGAACGGGUGAGUAACACGUGAGUAACCUGCCCCCUUCUUCUGGAUAACCGCAUGAAAGUGUGGCUAAUACGGGAUAUUCUGCGCCUGCUGCAUGGUGGGUGUGGGAAAGAUAUUGUUUCGGUGGGGGAUGGGCUCGCGGCCUAUCAGCUUGUUGGUGGGGUGAUGGCCUACCAAGGCGGUGACGGGUAGCCGGCCUGAGAGGGUCGACGGCCUUGCGAGGACUGGGACACGGACCAGACUCAUACGGGAGGCAGCAGUGGUGAAUAUUGCACAAUGGGCGAUAGCAUGAUGCAGCGACGCGGCGUGAGGGAUGGGGGCCUUCGGGUUGUAAACCUCUUUCGCCAGUGAAGCAGGCCUGUCCCUUUUGUGGGUGGGUUGACGGUAGCUGGAUAAGAAGCGCCGGCUAACUACGUG
rnacentral:rRNA from 1 species